rnacentral:rRNA from 1 species
CAGCAGCCGCGGUAAUACGGAGGAUCCAAGCGUUAUCCGGAAUCAUUGGGUUUAAAGGGUCCGUAGGCGGUCUUGUAAGUCAGUGGUGAAAGCCCAUCGCUCAACGGUGGAACGGCCAUUGAUACUGCAGGACUUGAAUUAUUGGGAAGUAACUAGAAUAUGUAGUGUAGCGGUGAAAUGCUUAGAGAUUACAUGGAAUACCAAUUGCGAAGGCAGGUUACUACCAAUUGAUUGACGCUGAUGGACGAAAGCGUGGGUAGCGAACAGGAUUAGAUACCCCGGUAGUCCCUGUCUCUUAUCC